AACGAACGCUGGCGGCAUGCCUAACACAUGCAAGUCGAACGAGACCUUCCGGUCUAGUGGCGCACGGGUGCGUACGGCGUGGUAACCUGCCAUUAAGUUCCCAACAACUCAGAGAAAUUUCAGCUAAUACCGGAUGAUGUCUUCGGACCUAAGAUUUCUCGCUUUUAGAUGGGCCCGCGUUGGAUUAGCUAGUGGGUGGGGUAAAGGCAUACCAAGGCGUCGAUCCAUAGCUGGUCUGAGAGGAUGAUCAGCCACACUGGGACUGAGACACGGCCCAGACUCGUACGGGAGGCAGCAGAGGGGAAUAUUGGACAAUGAGCGAAAGCCUGAUCCAGCAAUGCCGCGUGAGUGGUGAAGGCGUUAGGGUUGUAAAGCUCUUUUAACCGAGAUGAUAAUGACGGUAUCGGGAGAAUAAGCACCGGCUAACUCCGUG
rnacentral:rRNA from 1 species